rnacentral:rRNA from 1 species
UUUGCCUACGGGGGGCAGCAGUGGGGAAUAUUGGGCAAUGGGCGCAAGCCUGACCCAGCAACGCCGCGUGAAGGAAGAAGGCUUUCGGGUUGUAAACUUCUUUUGUCAGGGACGAAGCAAGUGACGGUACCUGACGAAUAAGCCACGGCUAACUACGUGCCAGCAGCCGCGGUAAUACGUAGGUGGCAAGCGUUAUCCGGAUUUACUGGGUGUAAAGGGCGUGUAGGCGGGGAAGCAAGUCAGAUGUGAAAACCACGGGCUCAACCUGUGGCCUGCAUUUGAAACUGUUUUUCUUGAGUGCUGGG